GCGGCGUGCCUAAUACAUGCAAGUAGAACGCUGAAGAGAGGAGCUUGCUCUUCUUGGAUGAGUUGCGAACGGGUGAGUAACGCGUAGGUAACCUGCCUUGUAGCGGGGGAUAACUAUUGGAAACGAUAGCUAAUACCGCAUAACAAUGGAUGACACAUGUCAUUUAUUUGAAAGGGGCAAUUGUUCCACUACAAGAUGGACCUGCGUUGUAUUAGCUAGUAGGUGAGGUAAUGGCUCACCUAGGCGACGAUACAUAGCCGACCUGAGAGGGUGAUCGGCCACACUGGGACUGAGACACGGCCCAGACUCCUACGGGAGGCAGCAGUAGGGAAUCUUCGGCAAUGGGGGCAACCCUGACCGAGCAACGCCGCGUGAGUGAAGAAGGUUUUCGGAUCGUAAAGCUCUGUUGUAAGUCAAGAACGGGUGUGAGAGUGGAAAGUUCACACUGUGACGGUAGCUUACCAGAAAGGGACGGCUAACUACGUGCCAGCAGCCGCGGUAAUACGUAGGUCCCGAGCGUUGUCCGGAUCUAUUGGGCGUAAAGCGAGCGCAGGCGGUUUGAUAAGUCUGAAGUUAAAGGCUGUGGCUCAACCAUAGUUCGCUUUGGAAACUGUCAAACUUGAGUGCAGAAGGGGAGAGUGGAAUUCCAUGUGUAGCGGUGAAAUGCGUAGAUAUAUGGAGGAACACCGGUGGCGAAAGCGGCUCUCUGGUCUGUAACUGACGCUGAGGCUCGAAAGCGUGGGGAGCGAACAGGAUUAGAUACCCUGGUAGUCCACGCCGUAAACGAUGAGUGCUAGGUGUUGGAUCCUUUCCGGGAUUCAGUGCCGCAGCUAACGCAUUAAGCACUCCGCCUGGGGAGUACGACCGCAAGGUUGAAACUCAAAGGAAUUGACGGGGGCCCGCACAAGCGGUGGAGCAUGUGGUUUAAUUCGAAGCAACGCGAAGAACCUUACCAGGUCUUGACAUCCCGAUGCUAUUUCUAGAGAUAGAAAGUUACUUCGGUACAUCGGUGACAGGUGGUGCAUGGUUGUCGUCAGCUCGUGUCGUGAGAUGUUGGGUUAAGUCCCGCAACGAGCGCAACCCCUAUUGUUAGUUGCCAUCAUUCAGUUGGGCACUCUAGCGAGACUGCCGGUAAUAAACCGGAGGAAGGUGGGGAUGACGUCAAAUCAUCAUGCCCCUUAUGACCUGGGCUACACACGUGCUACAAUGGUUGGUACAACGAGUUGCGAGUCGGUGACGGCGAGCUAAUCUCUUAAAGCCAAUCUCAGUUCGGAUUGUAGGCUGCAACUCGCCUACAUGAAGUCGGAAUCGCUAGUAAUCGCGGAUCAGCACGCCGCGGUGAAUACGUUCCCGGGCCUUGUACACACCGCCCGUCACACCACGAGAGUUUGUAACACCCGAAGUCGGUGAGGUAACCUUUUGGAGCCAGCCGCCUAAGGUGGGACAGAUGAUUGGGGUG
rnacentral:rRNA from 1 species